ensembl:lncRNA
CUGCUUCUCACUGUUGCUUGUCCUGGGAGUUAAGACAGCAUGACUUGUCAUUUUUUCUCUGUGUGCACUCUCGUGCCCUUGAGGCUCUAUUCCGUACUGUACUCCCUAGAGUCAACAUUACUACCAUUUAGGAAAAGAAGCUUCAGUUGCCACAGGGGCUCUAAGUCCCUUGCUUCUGUCAGUACUUCAGAAGCAACCCAAGGCCAUGGCUUGAUGAACUCUGUUGCCAGCACCCGCAGGCAUCUGUUUCCCACUGACGGUGAGCUCAACACUGCUGGAGCUGAAAAUCACAGCAGAUCAAUCCGAUCUCAUCUCUGCCAGUCUGUUUCCUGUGACUGCUCCUGGUACCAGUUCUGUAUCAGGGUCCAGUCCAGCGGACAGGAACCACAUAAUAAUUUGAGCAAGGAAGGAUCGUUAACUACUUCCAGUGGGGAGAAGGAAGAUUCUAAGAUACCUCAUGGGAGAGCACCCAAGGACGGAACAGACAUAAAAGGGAGGGAGCGCUCCCUGAGGCUGGAUCAAGACUUUGUCGGAAACAGUGUUGUUUUAACUCAACAGAUGGCAGAAGAGUUGGCAGGGUUGAUCUAGACCAGCAGUGGUCCAUGCUUGUUGGUCCAAGACUGAUGGGUCAGAACUCUGAGCUGUCAGAAGGUGGGAACUUCCAUCGCUAGCACCCCCUUCCCCCACACUGGGAUGCCUACGUGAUUCACCUGGAAACUGGCAAGGCGGAGGGAGGUGCUGUCCACUUUGCCUAGGAGCCUUCUGGGGCAUGGCUGGGCUUGCUGGGGAGCUGCUGAGAAGCCCUUCAGGGGGUGCCCUUGAACCCACUAGAAGCUACUUGCAGGGGCGCACUGAGCUCCCCACCAGGAAGCCAUCUCAGGCUCACCGCAGGGGCGAGCUCCUGGGUUCACAGUGCUCCUGUCAAGCACCUGGGGAACCAAGAGGAAGGAAGGCACCCGGAACCAGGCUUUUUGAAUUGGGUCCACUGAGGCAAUUAGCAGAAAAAGGAAAACGAAUGACAGGAGAAUUGGAAAGGUGAAAACAGAACUCGUUGUUUGACAAUAGGUGUAGCAAAUCCGAAAGUAUUUACAGUUACGUUUUUAGAUUAAUAAGAAAGCUUAUAAGGUUGUUGAAUAUACAUAAUCAACUCUAAAACCAAUUGCAUCCUGUGCACCAUAACCAGAAAAUUAGAAAUUAAGGCUUAAAAAGUUCAACUUACAAUGGCAUAGAAAUCAAGUACCUAGGAAUACGUGUGACAAAAGACAUGUAAGAAAACUUUGGGAAAUAUCAGAGAAGACACAGAGCAUAAAGUAUGUCAAAUUUCUCCACAUUGGCCUAUGUAGAUUUACACAAUCCCAAUUAAAAUCCUUAGUGGUUUCUUUUUGAAUUGGAAAGACAGUUCUGAUCAUCACAUGGCAGCGUAAAAGGAGGAAGCUAGUCAACUGAUUCUGGAAGGAAAAGGACUUGCUGAGAGGUCAUGCUCUCCCGGAUAUGAAGACUUCGCAUCAAGCUGAAGAGAGAGUGGAGUUAUGUAGGCGAGGAGACAAGAGGACCACUGGGCCAGAUCAGAGAGCUCAGGGAUGAUCAACAUACACAUGUUUGUGCUUGAUUAACGGUGAAACGGAUGCUGCAGAAUAGUGGGAGAGAUGGGCUAGUGAAUGAUACUGUUGGAACAGUGGGGAUCCGUAUUCACACACACGCACAUGCACAAAUGGAUCUCCAUGUUUCACCAUACUAAAAAGUCAACUCCAGAUGCAUUAUUGAUAGACAAGAGAAGGGCCAAAACAUGCGAAUAAAAAGGAAAAUGUUCAUGAUCUCAGGGUCUUAAAAAAGGUGCAAAUUAUAAACCACAGAGCAAAAGACUGACAAUCUGCAUUAAAAUGAAUUUCUGUUCUUCAAAAGAUGUUAUAGAUUGAAAGACAAAGCAGUAAGUGGGAGAAGAUACUUGGGAUGAGACAAAGGUCUUACAUCUAGAAUAAGUAAAGAAUUUAUACAAACCAAUAAGAAGGAAAGACUGAUAACCAAACAGAAAGGAGCUGAACAGGAACUUGAUGCGAGAGGAAAGGCACAGGGCCAGUAGACACCUGAAGACUGUUCCCCUUCAGUGGCGCUCAGGGGAAGGCGCACAGGGAAACCACGGUGGGAGCCCACGCCUGACCGGCUGGCAGAGAGCGCGAGUCCUCACUGGUGGCGGGAACGUAAACGGCACCAGCGCUUGGCCAAACAGCGCGGCAGCUUCUCACAAGGGCCCCCUCGCUGCCCUCCCUGUGUGUCGUGUGUCUGCAUUCUGCACGGACCAAACCUCCCUGUGGGCAGGAACUCCCGCUCAAGCAAAAAGAGCAGCCUUCUCCCAGAUCAACAAGACGACUCCUUAAAAGGAUGGAGCAAAACCUGGCCUCAGCCCUGGAAUUUGUCAAAGUUAAUGAGUAGAAACUCUCCUUGGUCCGUUCAUGGGGCAGCCACGUCUGUUAGCUCAAAUAACAGCAAUUCCCUCACAUCAAAGCUCUUACUUCACUAAAAUGUCCAUCCGGCUUUUGAGUGGGAGACUCAUCAGGAAAGAAUUCCCAUCUUGUCGGAGGUUCAGGAAGGACUGACAUGAAGCAAUACUCUUCGGAAUCCUGCAGGGUUUCAAUGGUUUUCAUGGAAUCGCAUAACCUCUUAGGCGCAACAGGCUUCAGUGGGACAUCGAGUGUCCAUGGUUCAUCCUGGAUGGGUCAUGUUUGGCCUCCUCUGUAAAA